GGCAGAGUGGUUCGAUGUUGUUGCUGGCCUCUCACCGAGGCAUGUGCACACUUCGUCCUCGCUUUACUUCUUCGUUUGUACACACCUGUGAACCUGUUUGUAGGGUGCCUUUGCUGGCACUCUAUGUUUUUUCAUAUACUCCACUGCAUGUCUAUAGAAUGUCNUCCUUUGCUCUCGUCAGAGACAAAGAAUAAAAAGUUAUUAUAACUUUCAGCAACGGAUCUCUUGGCUCUCGCAUCGAUGAAGAACGCAGCGAAUUGCGAUAUGUAAUGUGAAUUGCAGAUUUUCAGUGAAUCAUCGAAUCUUUGAACGCACCUUGCGCUCCUUGGUAUUCCGAGGAGCAUGCCUGUUUGAGUGUCAUUAAAUUCUCAACUCCCUUUGAUUUCUUCAAAGGCGAGCUUGGAUGUUGGAGGCUUGCCGGCUGCAAAGUCGGCUCCUCUGAAAUGCAUUGGCGAAGGGAGUGUGCAUGUUACGGCCUUCGGUGUGAUAAUGAUCGCCGUGGCUGGCUUGCUGUAGCACCUUUGUCUCAUCUUUGNUUCCAUUGGGUUGGAACAAAGCUUGAC
rnacentral:rRNA from 1 species